rnacentral:rRNA from 1 species
GAUGAACGCUGGCGGCGUGCUUAACACAUGCAAGUCGAGCGAAGCACUUUGCUUUGAUUUCUUCGGGAUGAAGAGCUUAGUGACUGAGCGGCGGACGGGUGAGUAACGCGUGGGUAACCUGCCUCAUACAGGGGGAUAACAGUUAGAAAUGACUGCUAAUACCGCAUAAGGCCACAGCACCGCAUGGUGCAGGGGUAAAAACUCCGGUGGUAUGAGAUGGACCCGCGUCUGAUUAGGUAGUUGGCGGGGUAACGGCCCACCAAGCCGACGAUCAGUAGCCGACCUGAGAGGGUGACCGGCCACAUUGGGACUGAGACACGGCCCAAACUCCUACGGGAGGCAGCAGUGGGGAAUAUUGCACAAUGGGGGAAACCCUGAUGCAGCGACGCCGCGUGAGCGAAGAAGUAUUUCGGUAUGUAAAGCUCUAUCAGCAGGGAAGAAAAUGACGGUACCUGACUAAGAAGCCCCGGCUAACUACGUGCCAGCCGCCGCAGUAA